rnacentral:rRNA from 1 species
UACGUAGGGUGCAAGCGUUAAUCGGAAUUACUGGGCGUAAAGCGUGCGCAGGCGGCUUUGCAAGACAGAUGUGAAAUCCCCGGGCUUAACCUGGGAACUGCAUUUGUGACUGCAUGGCUGGAGUGCGGCAGAGGGGGAUGGAAUUCCGCGUGUAGCAGUGAAAUGCGUAGAUAUGCGGAGGAACACCAAUAACGGCGAAGGCAGUUAACUACUCUGUUACUGACAUUGAGGCACGAAAGCGUGGGGAGCAAAACGG